rnacentral:tRNA from 1 species
CUUAAACCCCAUAUAUAAAGGGAACUUUUUUUAGAA